rnacentral:rRNA from 1 species
GAUGAACGCUGGCGGCGUGCCUAAUACAUGCAAGUCGAGCGAACAGACGUGGAGUUUGCUGCUCUGACGUUAGCGGCGGACGGGUGAGUAACGAGUGGAUCACCUACCUUUUAGCCUGGGCUUACUUCGGGACCCCGGAGCCUAUACCGGAUAAUCUAUUGAACCGCAUGGUUCAAUCGUGAAUGGAGGUUUUGCUGUUACUUAUAGGUGGAUCCGCGCCGGAUUAUCUAGUUGGUAAGGUAAUGGUUUACCAAGGCAACGAUGCGUAGCCGACCUGCGAGGGAGAUGGGCCACAGUGGAAGUGAGACACGGACCAGACUCCUACGGGUGGGAGCGGUAGGGGAUGUGCCGCAAUGGGCAAGAGCCUGACGGAGCAGCGCCGCGUGAGUGAGGAAGGUGUCCGGAUCGGGAAACUCUGUUACUAGGGAAGGACAAAUGUGUAAGUAGCUAGGAAGGUCGUGACGGUACCGGAUGAGAAAGCCACGGCUAACUACGUG